AUUGAACGCUGGCGGCAUGCUUUACACAUGCAAGUCGAACGGUAACAGGCCGCAAGGUGCUGACGAGUGGCGAACGGGUGAGUAAUGCAUCGGAACGUGCCCAGUCGUGGGGGAUAACGCAGCGAAAGCUGUGCUAAUACCGCAUACGAUCUGUGGAGGAAAGCGGGGGACCUUCGGGCCUCGCGCGAUUGGAGCGGCCGCUGUCAGAUUAGGUAGUUGGUGGGGUAAAGGCUCACCAAGCCGACGAUCUGUAGCUGGUCUGAGAGGACGACCAGCCACACUGGGACUGAGACACGGCCCAGACUCCUACGGGAGGCAGCAGUGGGGAAUUUUGGACAAUGGGCGCAAGCCUGAUCCAGCAAUGCCGCGUGCAGGAAGAAGGCCUUCGGGUUGUAAACUGCUUUUGUACGGAGCGAAAAGGCUCCCUCUAAUACAGGGGGCUCAUGACGGUACCGUAAGAAUAAGCACCGGCUAACUACGUGCCAGCCGCCGCGGUAACAC
rnacentral:rRNA from 1 species